rnacentral:rRNA from 1 species
AUGAACGCUAGCGACAGGCUUAACACAUGCAAGUCGAGGGGUAACAGGGUAGCAAUACCGCUGACGACCGGCGCACGGGUGAGUAACGCGUAUGCAACCUGCCUAUAACUGGGGAAUAGCUCCCUGAAAGGGGAAUUAACACCGCAUAACACUAUUGAUUCGCAUGGAUUGGUAGUUAAAUGUAGCGAUACAGGUUAUAGAUGGGCAUGCGUGACAUUAGCUAGUCGGUGAGGUAACGGCUCACCAAGGCUACGAUGUCUAGGGGUUCUGAGAGGAAGGUCCCCCACACUGGUACUGAGACACGGACCAGACUCCUACGGGAGGCAGCAGUGAGGAAUAUUGGUCAAUGGGCGCAAGCCUGAACCAGCCAUGUCGCGUGCAGGAAGACUGCCCCCUAUGGGUUGUAAACUGCUUUUUAUAGUAGAAGAAACACAUCUACGUGUAGAUGUCUGCCAGUAUACUAUGAAUAAGCAUCGGCUAACUCCGUGCCAGCAGCUGC